GACGAACGCUGGCGGCGUGCUUAACACAUGCAAGUCGAACGGAAAGGCCCUGCUUUUGUGGGGUGCUCGAGUGGCGAACGGGUGAGUAACACGUGAGUAACCUGCCCUUGACUUUGGGAUAACUUCAGGAAACUGGGGCUAAUACCGGAUAGGAGCUCCUGCUGCAUGGUGGGGGUUGGAAAGUUUCGGCGGUUGGGGAUGGACUCGCGGCUUAUCAGCUUGUUGGUGGGGUAGUGGCUUACCAAGGCUUUGACGGGUAGCCGGCCUGAGAGGGUGACCGGGCACAUUGGGACUGAGAUACGGCCCAGACUCCUACGGGAGGCAGCAGUGGGGAAUAUUGCACAAUGGGCGGAAGCCUGAUGCAGCAACGCCGCGUGCGGGAUGACGACCUUCGGGUUGUAAACCGCUUUCGCCUGUGACGAAGCGUGAGUGACGGUAAUGGGUAAAGAAGCACCGGCUAACUACGUG
rnacentral:rRNA from 1 species